rnacentral:rRNA from 1 species
GAUGAACGCUGGCGGCGUGCCUAAUACAUGCAAGUCGAGCGAACAGACGAGGAGCUUGCUCCUCUGACGUUAGCGGCGGACGGGUGAGUAACACGUGGAUAACCUACCUAUAAGACUGGGAUAACUUCGGGAAACCGGAGCUAAUACCGGAUAAUAUAUUGAACCGCAUGGUUCAAUAGUGAAAGACGGUUUUGCUGUCACUUAUAGAUGGAUCCGCGCCGCAUUAGCUAGUUGGUAAGGUAACGGCUUACCAAGGCAACGAUGCGUAGCCGACCUGAGAGGGUGAUCGGCCACACUGGAACUGAGACGCGGUCCAGACUCCUACGGGAGGCAGCAGUAGCGAAUCUGCCGCAAUGGGCGAAAGCCUGACGGAGCAACGCCGCGUGAGUGAUGACGGUCUUCGGAUCGUAAAACUCUGUUAUUAGGGAAGAACAACUGUGUAAGUAACUAUGCACGUCUUGACGGUACCUAAUCAGAAAGCCACGGCUAACUACGUG